GAGGGUAUAGCUCAGUGGUAGAGCAUGUGCUUAGCAUGCAUGAGGUCCUGGGUUCAAUUCCCAGUAUCUCCA
rnacentral:tRNA from 1 species